rnacentral:rRNA from 1 species
AGGUAGCGAAAUUCCUUGUCAGGUAAGUUCUGACCCGCACGAAAGGCGUAAUGAUCUGGGAACUGUCUCAACCAUAGACUCGGUGAAAUCUUAAUACCUGUGAAAAUGCAGGUUACCCGCGACAGGACGGAAAGACCCCAUGGAGCUUUACUGUAGCUUGAUAUUGGAUCUCGAUGUGUUAUGUAGAGGAUAGGUGGGAGACUAUGAUGUUAGGACGCUAGUUCUAACGGAGUCAACCUUGGAAUACCACCCUUAGCAUGUUGAGAUUCUAACCUCGACCCAUUAUCUGGGUCAGGGACAGUGUCUGGUGGGCAGUUUGACUGGGGCGGUCGCCUCCCAAAAAGUAACGGAGGCGCUCAAAGGUUCCCUCAGAAUGGUUGGAAAUCAUUCGAAGAGCGUAAUGGUAUAAGGGAGCUUUACUGCGAGACCUACAAGUCAAGCAGUUACGAAAGUAGGACAUAGUGGGCCGGCGAUUCAGAAUGGAAUGGUCGUCGCUUAACGGAUAAAAGUUACCCUGGGGAUAACAGGCUGAUACCACCCAAUAGUUCACAUAGACGGUGGUGAUUGGCACCUCGAUGUCGGCUCGUCACAUCCUGGAGCUGGAUUCGGUUCCAAGGGUUGGGCUGUUCGCCCAUUAAAGUGGCACGCGAGCUGGGUUCAGAACGUCGUGAGACAGUUCGGUCCCUAUCCGUCGUGGGCGCAGGAAAAUUGAGAAGAGCUAUCCUUAGUACGAGAGGACCGGGAUGGACAUACCUCUGGUGUAUCUGUUGUAACGCCAGUUGCAGUGCAGAGUAGCUAUGUAUGGAAUCGAUAACCGCUGAAAGCAUCUAAGCGGGAAGCGAACUUCAAGAUGAAUUUUCCCAUAUUUUUAUAAUAGUAAGAUCCCUGAAAGACUAUCAGGUUGAUAGGCUGGAGAUGGAAGUGUAGUGAUACAUUGAGUUGACCAGUACUAAUAGAUCGAGGAUUUAACCAU